CCUGCCUCUCAGGGAAUGUCUGUGUAAAUUUAAAUUUUGUUCGGAAUUUGAACCAAUAAGAAGAGUGAUCUCAUUUCCACCAAUGGAAAGCAAAUGCUGGUGAAUGCUUUGAGAUCUCCUUCAGAGCUGCUGAUUCAUUUCUCCCUUCAAACUAAAUGUGUGCUGCCGCAGAAACGACGGAAUAGAAAUUGGAAGACAGAAAUAAUAUAAUUUAUCCUAGGCCCCGUUUACAAUAAUAAAGAAAAGAGAAAGGCAUCCUGGGGGAAUCGGGAACCAAUAAGGAGAGUGUUCUCAUUUCCACCAACGGAAAACAAAUACUCAGGAAAGAUUGGAGAUCCCCCUCAGAGCCGCUGAUUCAUUUCUGCCUCACGGCUAAACAUAUGCUGCCGCAGAAACCAUGAAAUAGAAACUGGGUGACAGAUAAAGAAAUGAAACUCAUCCUUGUUCAUGUAUACAAUAACAAACAAAAGAGAAAAGCAUCCUCGGGUUUCCCCUUGACUGACCCUGCAUGCCCGGGCAGGUGUGUUCAAAGUGUAUGGCCCAGGUACGAGGGCUUCAGUGAAGAACGUAGCUGAGAUGAGCCAGCCACAAAGACAAAAGUUAUAAAACAGAGGAAUUUGUUAGAGUGGAGCCUGCUGCUACAACCAGACCUUGGAGAAACAACUAAGAAUGUAAUCAGCCAUUUGCUAGCUGCAUACUCUGUCAUGGGCACCCCCCAACAAAUUAAGACUGAUAAUUGACCUGGAUACACCAAUGCCAAUUAUAAGAGUUUCUGCAAAUAAUUUGCUAUUAAUCAUGUUACUGGAAUCCCAUAUAAUCCUCAGGGACAAGAAAUGAAGAUUCAUGCCAUACUCUGGAACAUUCUUCUGUUGGCACCUCUUUCAGAAGAGAGCUGUUUGACCAACCCAUCUGGAAUGUCUGUUGUGGAUUGCUGCCCCAUCUUCUUCCCCUGUUAGGUCCCUUGCUUGGCUUAUUGAUUUCUCUAUUGCUUGCACCUUUUCUCAAUAAUAAAUCGAUGGCUUUCAUCAAGAAUCAGGUAUAUGCUAUCAAAAUAGAGCCUAUAUAGAUGCACUGCCAUUACCUUGACUUGGCCAAAAUGGGAGAUGACUAUAAUGAACUCUAUUUACAGAACAUAAGAUCUGUGUAUUUGAAAAAUCAUUGGGUUCAAUCUUUCCUUGGUGAGUUGGGCUGGAUAGCCAACAAUGGGCAAGAGAGGGAGGGUUUAGUGUGUCUGACCCUGAAGCCCCCUAAGAAAGGAAUCAUCAUCAUGCAACAUCAACUCCAGAAAAGGGUAAGGCUAUCAUACACUCUUCAGCCCAUUGAUUCCACUGACCUAAGCCUGGCACAGUCCCCUUAAGGACAUCCCCUACCUAUGGCCUUCUUACAUAUUAUAUAAAAAUAAAGGGAGACAUGUAGAGGACUCUGAAAGAAGAUAGCAUAAUAAUGUCAUCUAUGCCUUCUAUUACUUUUUUAACACUCAGUUAAGUUUCUGUUGCUUUGCAUCUGUCAAUUUUCUUGUAAAGCAUAUGCCCAUGUCUGUAGUCAAGACAGCUCCAGCCCCAGACUUAUCUCCUUGCAACACAUCAUGCCUAGAAGGACAAUAGUCUCCCCCACACCCUGACCCUUUUACCCUACUUAAAUCAUAUUGACCUGUCUAAUAAACUGAGACUUGAUCAGAGUACUCUCUUGUCUCCAUCUCUCCUGUCUCUUUUCUCUUCCAUUCAUAUUCCCUCCCCCAUGGUUCCCUUUGACUGAUCGCACAAACUAUGAAACCUCCCCUGCCCCCACGUUCCCAAUUUGCCAGAAUCUGGAAGCAACCUAGAUGACCCUCAACUGAAGAAUGGGUAGAGAAAAUGUGGUAUAAUUACACAAUAGAGUACUACUCAGCAGAAAAAAACAAUUGAAACUUGCAGUUUGCAGGCAAAUUGAUGGAACUAGAAGAAACCAUCCUGAGUGAGGUAACCCAGUAACAAAAAGAUAAACAUAGUAUGUACUCUUUCAUAUAUGAUUUCUAGACAUAGAACAAAUGAUUACCAGUCUACAAUCUACACUGCCAGAGGAGCUAGGAAACAAGGAGGACCCCAAGAGAAGAAUGAAUAGUCCAUCGAAGAAGGGGAGGGGGACAAGAACCCCUAAACAUCUUCCUUUGAAGAAUCCACACAUUUCCCCAAAAUAGAAUAUGCUCCAAUUUCAAAUAUCACUGUUAAACCUGAAGCUUAUGUUUUUGUUAUCUUUGAUAAGAACUGAAUUUUUUAAUGCAUUUCUAUGUGCAUCACUAUGCAUCCAUCUACUGGAACAAGAGUAGUCCCACAUGGCAAGCAAUUCUGAAAAAAUAAACUACAACUAUCCUUCUCAUUUCUUUAAUAGAUGAAAAGUGACUUUCAAUAUUGUUUGGCAAUAGUUCUGUUCCUAAUUGAAUGGCUUUUAGUUUAUAUGGAGAGAUAUGGAAAAAUCUUAACCACUUAUACUGUGAAAGGAUAACAGUUUUCUCACUCAUAUGCAAGUAAUGGUUUAUUUGGUUUAGUUAUUGGCUAAAUGUAUCCAUAUAUGGACACAUUUGUUAUUCAGAAACACUAUAAUUUAGAUGUGGAACUUGGAUUAUGAGGAUAAGAAUAUACUUUUGAUAUUCCUGUAUACUUAUGUCAUCAUAGAAACUAAUGCAUUUGCUACUAUGCUGCCCUUGGAUGGAAUACAGGUGAUAUAACUCAAGGUUAAUCAGAAUGUUAGUGGCUUAAAAGUUAGCAGGAAUAAAAUUUCUCACUCUCAUGAGCUAUAUGCCUUAAUGGAAAAAAAAACUGAGUGAUUUUUAGAAAUAUCUUUGUCUUUGUGGCCCAAAACUGAGAAAAAUCUGUAAUUAUGAGGUUUGCAUUCAAGGCCUCGAGUUGGAAGGAAAACCACAAGCUUCUUUAAUAGCCAAGAACUGGAUACCAGUGUUGUGACCCUGAUGGGUGACCUAAGGUGCCCUUGGGGUUGGCUUUUUCACCUCAUGACCAGGCAUUCUUGUUGAGACACUGCUGGGUGACCUAAGGUGCCAUUGGUAUUCUCUGUCUGCCUCAAGACUGGAGAGGAUUAGCACAUUUUUAAUGGGGACAAUUGUUCCACAGAAUCAUACCUCCAAUUUCACCUAGGCUGGCCUGUAUGCAAGAAUGCAAACUAUCAGCCCAUUGCCAGGGGGCUUGGGUACAUGGACCUUGGUCUGAGUAAAUUUCUACGUGACUGCUGUUGAUGUAUAA
ensembl:lncRNA